rnacentral:rRNA from 1 species
CCCUUAGAUGUUCUGGGCUGCACGCGCGCUACACUGAUGCGCUCAACAAGUUUAUGACCUUGCCCGGAAGGGUUGGGUAAUCUUCUUAGCACGCAUCGUGAUGGGGAUAGAUUAUUGCAAUUAUUAAUCUUCAACGAGGAAUUCCUAGUAAGCGCGGGUCAUCAUCCCGCGCUGAAUACGUCCCUGCCCUUUGUACACACCGCCCGUCGCUCCUACCGAUUGAGUGGUCCGGUGAGGCUUUGGGAUCUGAGCGGAAAGAGCGUUUCGCUGUUUCUGCUCGGAAAACUCAGUCGAACCUUAUCAUUUAGAGGAAGGAGAAGUCGUAACA